UCCGGAUUUACUGGGGGUAAAGGGGGCGCAGACGGCAGCGCAAUCCAGGAGUGAAAGCCCGGGGCCCAACCCCGGGACUGCUCUUGGAACUGCGCGGCUGGAGUGCAGGAGGGGCAGGCGGAAUUCCUGGUGUAGCGGUGAAAUGCGUAGAUAUCAGGAGGAACACCGGCGGCGAAGGCGGCCUGCUGGACCGUGACUGACGUUGAGGCUCGAGAGCGUGGGGAGCAAACAGG
rnacentral:rRNA from 1 species